AAUUUAAUGAAAGAAAAAGUGUUUAUGUCAUUAACCUCCUGUACUAUAUUUCUUUUGCAACUCUACAAGCCCUCAAAUUAGCAGUAGUCAUCUCAGUAGCAGUUUAAGCCGCAGACCAUUGAACAACAGAGCUGAUCAAGACCAAAGCAGCUACACAAGUUUGCGUGAACCAGGAGUCUCCUCAUCUGCUGUUCCUGCUAAAGCUGGCAUGUCUUGGAUUACAAAGCUCCUUAUAAUGAUUGUGUUGGGUUUUAUGUUGUGGAUGAUAUUCAUGAACUUUGAGUAUCAACCUUCAGUACCUAGUCUAACAAGUACCAAUUAAAAUGGUCACCUCCAUGAAUUCCUCAUAAUCGAAUAACUGCAUGCCAAUUUCAUUUUUCUUUUUUUUCUCUAAAUUGUAGUUUAAAAUAAAAAUUAUUUUUCCUAUUGGAUUAUUUUAUCUAUGACAGUUAUAUCAAAAGUAAGGUCCUUUUAAAUUUAUUUUGUUAGUUUCUAAUUUAGCUAUGUUAUGAAUAAACUUUGUUUUAGGAAUAGACACACACACACACAAAUAUAUAAUACUAUCAGUGAUGAUAAAUAAACUAACUUUAGGUUAGUGAAAAUAUAUUUGUGACAUACUUCUAAGAGCAAAUUCACUGCAGUUACUAUGAGGAAAGAAUUCUCACUUAUGGCAAAGGGUGUAAAAACACCAUAUCUUUUCACUCUCUCUCUCCCUCUCUAAUGGACUUCCUUUCACUUUGUGUAUUCCUCAUCACUGCAUUGCAUUGGUACUUGUAUAUUUUGACCAGGCAGUCUGCGAGCACAACCAGUCACUAAUAUUGACUGCUCUAAGAUAAAGCUAUGGUUUUAGGACUGCCUUUCUUCAGUACCUCCUAAAGAAGGUUAAAAAGCCAGAAACACAUCUGUUAGAGAGACACUGAGCAGAUAAGGUGUUUUUACACCUUUUAUCCCAUGAAGAAGAAUUUUUAUCUCCAUAGUAAAUGCAGUGAAUUUAUCUUUAGAAGUCAAAUUAUGCCACAACCCAUAUUUUAACUAACCUGAAGUUCACGUGUGUGAGUGA